GCGAACCCAAGUUCUGUAAAGUGCCCUUCAAUUUUUUGGUCAUUUUGUAUAGUUUUUGACCCUUUUUUCAAUGUUGUGGAAUUAAUCCCGUGCCAUGAAUGACUCCAGUCCUGUUUUGACGAUGCGGAGUUCUUGUCACCAUGUGCGGACGAAAUUUCAGUGAUAACAUAGAGUCUGACUUCUGCCUGGUACUGGACUAAGUAGAGCUUAGAAUGGAAGCUCCAAUCAACUAGGCAAUAACUAUAUUUGUCCCAAGGUAGAGAAAUCGCUUGUCGCAUAAGUAGAGACCUGCAUGAAUGGUAUAACGACUACCCUACUAUUUUCGACAUGGACUCAGUGAAAUUGAAUUCUCCGUUCAGAUGCGGAGUACCAGUGGCUAGACGGUUAGACCCCGUUCACCUUGACUAGAACUUCGCAGUGAUAACUGUAUUAAAAUGUAUUGGAUAGGUGGGAGGUUGUGACACACAAUGUCUAAUCAAUCCUUAAAUACCACUCUUUGUCAUA
rnacentral:ncRNA from 1 species